rnacentral:rRNA from 1 species
UGGGCAACCUGCCCCAGACACAGGGACAACCCCGGGAAACCGGGGCUAAUACCGGAUACUCCGGUCGAACCGCAUGGCUCGAUCGGGAAAGCUCCGACGGUCUGGGAUGGGCCCGCGGCCUAUCAGCUUGUUGGUGGGGUAACGGCUCACCAAGGCAACGAUGCGUAGCCGACCUGAGAGGGUGAUCGGCCACAUUGGAACUGAGACACGGUCCAGACUCCUACGGGAGGCAG